GAUAAACAGCUAGCAGCAGAACCUGCAGCCACCCCUAAGCAGAAUACGCAAUUGCUCUUACUUUCUAAAUAUCCAGGAGGGGCGUUUUCCUUCUUGAAAUGGCCUCUAUGCUUAGGAGCAGCAGAGGGAGAGAUGGAGGAGGAGAAAGCACGCAGGGCAGAAUUUUCAACAAGUUUUGGCUGAAGCUGAACGCAGAGCGCAACGACAAUCGAGAACAGUCCACGAAGAUGCCAAUGACUUCCUGACACAAAAAGGCCUAGAUGCGCCACGCCGGCAUCCCCGGGUGAUCCGCCAGUGGCUGGAGCUCCAGGAACACUGCUGAAGAUAGAGGCAACAGUAACCUGCUUGGAAAGAAUUUGCCAGAAUUCCUGGAAGAUGCCUCAGUAGACAAGUGUGAGGAAGAUGUACGCAAACUCCCUUACACUGGGCAAAUAGCUGUCAAUUAUGAUGGGAAGGUAGAUUUUGAGAUAAAUAGUAAGAAGAAUCUCUUCACGGGUUAAAGGCUUUGAUAAUUGAAGCAAAUUUCUGUUUGUUUAUUUGAGAGACAGAAGGUGUGCUCCCGUUUGCUGAGUCCCUCCCCAAACGCCCACAGGCUGAAGCUGGGAGCCCAGAAUGCGAUCACCUCUUCCAUGUGGGUGACAGGGACCCAGGUUCUUGAGCCGUCCGCACUGUCUCCUAGAGCGCACAUUAGCUGGAAGCUGGAACAGGAAGUGGAGCCCGGAACAGGAAGUGGAGCCCCGACUUGAACCCAGACACUCCUAAGUGGACGGAGGCCUCCUAAGUGGCAUCUUAUAAGCUAAGCCAAACACCAGGCCCUGUGAAAGCAUAUGAACUUAUAUCUGUACAGAACAGAUAUAUUGUAACUAUUGUUGUAACAUGAGCAAUUUCCAUAUGUUCACAAUUCUUAAUGACUGUGUAGUCCAUAAUAUUGAUAUAGAAUAGCUUUCUUAACCCCAAGCUUUAGGAAAAUGCAUUUUCUAACCCACUUAAUAUAAGCAACAUUGCUUUAAUCUUAUUCAACAAAGUACUUCUUGAGGCAGUAAGUGGGAAGAGUAUUUCUUUUGGAUAUAUUCUGAAAUAUGGGGUUAUUGAGUUAAAAGAAAUCACAUGCUUCUUCUUAUAUUUUCACAUAUUUCUUUGUGUAACAACCAAAAACUUAUGAAAAAUGCAGAAGCGUUCUUGUCUUUUAACUUCCUCUCAUUGGCACUGCAUUUUUAAAUUAUUUUUAGUUACUUAAGUAGAGUGAGGAAGAUUUAAGAUGUGGAAUUUACCCACAGGAAAAAAAAGAAUUUGGGUCACUUUGGUUAUUAAUCCAGUAGAGGCCUUAAAGCUAUUUCCUUCCCAAUGGGUCUCUCAAUUCUUUUAAGCUAAUUUUGUGGUAAUCAAAAAAUUAUCUUACAUUAUAAUAAUGCUUAGAAAAAUCAAUGUAUAAGCAUUGUUUUGCUGGGAUAGGUCAGCGAAGUUGAUUUAAGAACAUCGUUGGAAAGAGGAGUCAAACUUUGAAUAGAGCCUAAGGAUGGCCAUUGUUGGGCAUUCUUGUAGGAAGGAGAAACUGUCCAAGCUUUCUAAAGGAAUGGGAUGCAAUGUCCCAAGCAGACCCUUAACCGCUGCACCAGAUGCCCACACUUGCCAUUUAUUUAUUUAUUUUUAAUGUCAUUUUGGACACCAUCUGGACCAGUCUUUACCUAAAAGUUUGCAGAAAUCAUCAUGGUGGCUGGUCUGCAAAGAAGGGCUCCUAGUGAACUAAACCUUCUGGUGUAAAAGCCCAUAAGAAGUCUCCCCCUACGGUGAAUCUGAGCUGGCCCCGUGUAACACAGGGCCUGCAGCAGUGUUGAUGCUGUGGCACUUCUAAGGACAGAUCACACGAUUUGCAGCUUCUGUCUCAGUCUCUUGAAAUGCUUACUCGGGCAUGGUGCGGCACUGUGGUAUAGCAGAUAAAGUCACCACUUGCAGCAUUGGCAUCCCAUAUGUUCACAGGUUCAAGUCCCAGCUGUUCCAAUUCAGCUCCCUGCUAGUGCACUUGGGAAAGCAGCUGAGGAUGGCCCAUGUGCUUGGGCCCUUGCACCCGUGUGGGAGACCCGGAGGAAGCUCCUGUCUGUUGGCUUUGGACUCACCCAACUCCUGAUGUUGUGGCCAUUUAGGGAGUGAAGUAGUGGAUGGAAGAUCUCUCUGUUUCUCUCUGUCUCUCCCUAUCUCUCUUUCUGAAACUCUGCCUUUCAAAUAAGCAAAUCUUAAAAGAAAAAGAAAUGCUUACUCUGUGGGAACCAAAUAUCCAUGUAAGAAAUUUGCUUUGAGCCCACCAUGCUGUGAGAAGGCCCAGUCUCAUCUCAUAGAGAGGACAGGUGAAGAAAUACAUCCUGACCAGACCAGCACGCCGCCCCCCUUGCCCCACUGUUCUUGUCUACCCAGGUCAGGUGCAAAUGAAACUUAGAUGUCCAAUCUGAUCAAACCUGUGGUUGAUUUCAGCCCUACUAUCUCAUGCCAAAGCAUGAAAAACCCCAAGUAGAAAUUCAAUGAACUCAGAACUGUGACAUAGGACAAAUCUGGGGGGCAAUUUAAGAUUCAUUUUAUUUUUUUUUUAAAUACAGUUACAGACAGAGGUAGAGACAGAGAGAGAGAGGUCUUCCAUCUGCUGGUUCACUCCCCAGAUGGCCACAACGGCCGGAGCUGCACCGAUCUGAAGCCAGGAGCCAGGAGCUUCUUCCGGGUCUCCCAUGUGGGUGCAGGAGCCCAAGGACUUGGGCCAUCUUCUACUGCUUUCCCAGGCCAUAGUAAAGAGCUGGAUUGAAAGUGGAGCAGCAGGGUCUGGAACCAGCGCCCAUAUGGGAUGCCAGUGCUUCAGGCCAGGGCUUUAACCUGCUGCGCCAUAGUGCUGGCCCCUACUUUAAGACUUUUAAA